CCUACGGGCGGCUGCAGUGGGGAAUAUUGGACAAUGGGGGCAACCCUGAUCCAGCCAUGCCGCGUGUGUGAAGAAGGCCCUCGGGUUGUAAAGCACUUUCAGUGAGGAAGAACGCCUGGUGGUUAAUACCCAUCAGGAAAGACAUCACUCACAGAAGAAGCACCGGCUAACUCCGUGCCAGCAGCCGCGGUAAUACGGAGGGUGCGAGCGUUAAUCGGAAUUACUGGGCGUAAAGCGCGCGUAGGUGGCUUGAUAAGCCGGUUGUGAAAGCCCCGGGCUCAACCUGGGAACGGCAUCCGGAACUGGCAAGCUAGAGUGCAGGAGAGGAAGGUAGAAUUCCCGGUGUAGCGGUGAAAUGCGUAGAGAUCGGGAGGAAUACCAGUGGCGAAGGCGGCCUUCUGGACUGACACUGACACUGAGGUGCGAAAGCGUGGGUAGCAAACAGGAUUAGAUACCCGAGUAGUC
rnacentral:rRNA from 1 species